rnacentral:rRNA from 1 species
UACAGAGGGUGCGAGCGUUGUUCGGAAUUAUUGGGCGUAAAGGGCGCGUAGGCGGUGCGGUAAGUCACCCGUGAAAUCUCCUGGCUCAACUGGGAGCUUGCAGGCGAAACUGCCGUGCUGGAGUGUGGGAGAGGUGCGUGGAAUUCCUGGUGUAGCGGUGAAAUGCGUAGAUAUCAGGAAGAACACCUAUGGCGAAGGCAGCUCUCUGGGACGGUACUGACGCUGAGACGCGAAAGCGUGGGGAGCGAACAGG